UACGUAGGGACCAAGCGCUGUUCGGAUUUACUGGGCGUAAAGGGCGCGUAGGCGGCAAUUCAAGUCAUCUGUGAAAUCUCCGGGCUUAACCCGGAACGGUCAGGUGAUACUGUUUUGCUAGAGUGCGGAAGGGGCAAUCGGAAUUCUCGGUGUAGCGGUGAAAUGCGUAGAUAUCGAGAGGAACACCAGAGGUGAAGACGGGUUGCUGGGCCGACACUGACGCUGACAGCGCGAAAGCCAGGGGAGCAAACGGG
rnacentral:rRNA from 1 species